rnacentral:rRNA from 1 species
CGAUGGGAGCUUGCUCCCAGGCGUCGAGUGGCGGACGGGUGAGUAAUACUUAGGAAUCUACCCAGUAGCGGGGGACAACUCGGGGAAACUCGAGCUAAUACCGCAUACGCUCUACGGAGGAAAGCAGGGGAUCUUCGGACCUUGCACUAUUGGAUGAGCCUAAGUCGGAUUAGCUUGUUGGUGAGGUAAAGGCUCACCAAGGCGACGAUCCGUAGCUGGUCUGAGAGGACGAUCAGCCACACUGGGACUGAGACACGGCCCAGACUCCUACGGGAGGCAGCAGUGGGGAAUAUUGGACAAUGGGGGAAACCCUGAUCCAGCAAUGCCGCGUGUGUGAAGAAGGCCUGCGGGUUGUAAAGCACUUUCAGUAGAGAAGAAAAGCCUAGGGUUAAUACCCCUGAGUCUUGACGUUACCUACAGAAGAAGCUCCGGCUAACUCCGUGCCAGCAGCCGCGGUAAUACGGAGGGAGCGAGCGUUAAUCGGAAUUACUGGGCGUAAAGCGCACGUAGGCGGCUUUGUAAGUCGGAUGUGAAAGCCCCGGGCUUAACCUGGGAAUGGCAUUCGAUACUGCAUAGCUAGAGUAUGGUAGAGGGAAGUGGAAUUUCCGGUGUAGCGGUGAAAUGCGUAGAUAUCGGAAGGAACACCGAUGGCGAAGGCAACUUCCUGGGCCAAUACUGACGCUGAGGUGCGAAAGCGUGGGUAGCAAACAGGAUUAGAUACCCUGGUAGUCCACGCCGUAAACGAUGAGAACUAGAUGUCGGGAGGAUCUGCCUUUCGGUGUCGCAGCUAACGCGUUAAGUUCUCCGCCUGGGGAGUACGCCGGCAACGGUAA